rnacentral:rRNA from 1 species
UGGGGAAUUUUGGACAAUGGGGGAAACCCUGAUCCAGCCAUCCCGCGUGUGCGAUGAAGGCCUUCGGGUUGUAAAGCACUUUUGGCAGGAAAGAAACGUCAUGGGUUAAUACCCCGUGAAACUGACGGUACCUGCAGAAUAAGCACCGGCUAACUACGUGC